AGCCUAGAAGCAAAUGGCUGCAAUGAACUGUCCAGAUUUCCAAAGUUGCCUAUUCAGUGCAUUCAAUACUCCAUGUCAGUGUAUGUUCACUUAUAUUCAUGUCAUGGAUUGGUUCGCGAAGGCAUUAACCUGGCUAAUAUUACACGUAUGCAUGAGCUGGUGGGAUUCUGAUUUAAUAGAUUUGCUAUAGCAAGAUGUUCGUGAGAUGGUUCACUGCAUGGAUACUAUACUUCCUGGAAGAGAGAUAGCAUGUUGGUUUAUCUAAAGUCUUAAGAAUGUUCUGUCUCUUUCUUGGUAUCCCAAGAUUUGCAUGGGAGUAUCCUUGGAUUAGAUUUAUGUGUUGCCUUGUGAUUGGGGGAAGGAAUUGGGGCUAGCAUUUCGUGUGAGGUUCAGGUAUUGGUGAAUCAUGUUCAUAUUAAUAAUGAUACAAGAACAUUCUCUUCAAUAUAGUUUCAUCACUUAUGGUUUAACUAUAUUACAUGCUGUUCAUUUGAUGAGCUGGAUGAGAUGCUAGAGAUUGAGUAGAGUCUCUUUGAUGUUUCAUUCAAGGUAUCAAAAGCAACACUAAGAAGGCGUAGGUCUCGCCUUAUAUGCAUGCAAGCGGAGAAUGAUGUAAGGGUUCUAUACCAACAUGAAUUGCCCUUGGGAAGCACCUCAAGUUGUUACAGAUAAUCUCGGUUAUUGGAGAUAUUCCUGAUCCAUGGUAGAAAGGUCCACCUCUGGAUUGCAUUUAAUUCGAAAUAUUUGAUAUAAUGUGUAAUGUAACCUGUCGCAUUUGGUAAAUGAUUUUUUGUACUUCGCUUUCAGCAACUUUAGUAGUUGUGCUGUUUCCUGGUGAGAUCAUUAUGACCCUCUUGUCCAUUUUCUAAUGUGUUUCUAUGGAUAUGUGAUGAUUACAUUGGCUGUCACAUGAAGCAACUUCAUCUAGGUUUGUGACAAAAGAUGGAUGGAUGGGAUAUUUGUUGAUUUGGCUAGUGCUAAUUCUAAAUUUUGAAAUUGAACUGUAAGGGACUGAUUUGCAAAUGUCCAAAAUUAUACAUGUGCCAUUUCUAUUAUUUAGAAGCCGCAAAUUCAAAAUUUUGCGGCCAAAUUUAGCUUUAGGCAAUUGGGAGUUAUCCAAAUGCUGAAAUGUAAAUGGAUAGUGAAAGAAGUUAUGUAGAUCUUGUUUUUGGCCUCAAUGUAAGUAUUGUUUGAGUCACUAUGAUCUUGUGCUCUAAAAUUUGCUAGAUUUGUAUUGCUUUUUUGUGCUUCACUCCUGUGGAUCUAUUUUUUUUUUUUUUUUUUUUUCAUAUUGCUUAUUGCAUCACAAUACGAAGUAUCAGUGUCAAUACACAAAGAGACUGAAGUUCUGGCUCUUUGCUCUCUCUUUCAUGUUUAUGUGUAUAUUAAUCUCUUUAAGUUUCCCCCUUUUAUGCUAGUUGGAAUGCUUAUCACACAAGAUUGUAGUAGCCCUACAAUUUGAUGUGAAGAGCUUUUGGGCGUUACGUCUUUGUGGAAGUUUGAACAAGCAAGCAAGCAGCUCCAUAUGUUUUAUGCCACAGGCAUCAAUUGGUUAAAAUUUCUCUGGUUUUUAGCAAAUUCAUGGUGUAUACCUUCAUACGCUCAAAAAUAAAUUCAAAUUCCUUCCUAUUUUCAGAA